rnacentral:lncRNA from 1 species
UACUAAUAGCAGCCGCUACAUGUCAUUUAAUUUCUACGUUAAUCAGGCAGCACAAACUGUAUCUCACAAAGCCCGUUCAACUAUUGUCUGCAUUGACCAAAUCAUUGAUGCAAUGUUCUUCAAUAUUCAUAGUACACAACAUCAAGCAUCACUGUUACUAACAAUGAAAAUGUGAACAUGUGAUGUAUGAAGAGAGACCAUUAGCUAACUUAAACUUUCAUGAUUUAUUGCACUAACAAGAACCACGAGAAAUGAGAUACAUUAUUAAACUUAAUCCUGCUCAACCAGCUUCUUCAGCAUUUUUGUUCACUUCACUUCUUCUGGUUUCUCAACAAAAGUCUUCCUCAGCCAGUCCCAUGGCUGCUUAUAUAUGAAAAUAACGUAACACGGUCAGAGGUGUCAUUAGAUACAUAUGCCAUCACAAAAUCAAGUUUACAUAUCCAAACAGUACAUUAAUAAGAACGGACUUGCACAACCCGAAAAGGAAGUCCAGAAGUGCAUAGAAAUAAAAGAAUACCAAAAAGCUAAAUUAGCACUUGCUUCGCUCUCUACUCUCUAAUUAAAGCUUAUACAUGAGAUAUCCAAUUAAAGGACAUCAAAACAUUUAAAUGAAAAAGUUACUUCAACAGAUUCUAUAGAAUUCAUCAAAAGUUUAGGAACCUUCCUUCUUAUUACGUGCUUUACGAACCUCCAAUCUAAUAUCUUAAAACAGCCACAUUCAUCAGUACACAUAUAUUGCACAUAAGAUAAUCUGAAAAUGCAACUUUAAGUUUAUAACACGUCAUAGUUAAAAAAAUGAAACUAAUGUCAUCAUAAAAGCCAGAAGGAAAACCGAUGGACAGGAAAAUAAAUGGACAAAAAACCUGCAACACAAAACGAAGUGACUAACAAAAUGAAUCCCCCAUUUUCUUAAACUAGUAGGUCGGGUGCAAUUAUGACUAUUUUUGGCCAAUGUCACUAAGUUGACUCUUGGCUGAUAGCAAAAGUAGGGAAAAUGGGUACAAAAAAGAGUUAUGGAUUGUUCAGAGUGCAAAAAACUCUGGAUAAAAUUCUUCUCACCUAUUUCCACAUUUGGUGCACCUCUGUAUUAAUUCCUUAUCCAUUCCUAUAGUCUUAAGUUAGAGGCAAGGAGAUCGAUAAUUGAAACUCCCACAGGAAAGACCUAAAAUACAGUCAUUCCCAUAGUUGUGUCCUACUUGCUGUUCCAUACCCGCCCUAACAAGCUCCCACCCCUUCUCUAAGCCUUCCCAGAAAAGACCCUUCUACUAGGCCAUAGAUAAUACAGUGAUAAAUUUGAGGAUGAAUAAUUAGAAGAAAAUUGAUCUCUAGCACCAUCCAUAUGCCGCUUUUACUACCUUGUUUUGCCAUUUCGACUGUCCUCGUCCUGCCAUUGGUGAUGAUUUAGUUUGCUCAAAAGAAAAAAAGUUGAAUCAAUGAAAUUUACAACUAUGUGUGUGUGUGUGUGUGUGUCUGAUAAACUAGUGUCAACUGUAUACUGGAGAGCAAAGUUGACCCCGUGGCAUACCAAAUGCUUUUUUUUUUUUUGGAUAACAAUGGGGUACAUACAAGUUUUGGCGCACUUCAAUUGAUCCUCCAAGUAUUUGCUAGCCUAUUAGCUUC